rnacentral:SRP_RNA from 1 species
GCUGGGCACAAUGGCGCGUGCCUGUAGUCCCAGCUACUUGGGAGGCUGAGGUGGGAGGAUCACUUGAGCCCAGGAGUUCUGGGCUGUAGUACGCUAUGCCGAUUGGGUAUGCGCACUAAGUUCGGCAUCAAUAUGGUGACCUCCUGGGAGCAGGGGACCACCAGGUUGCCUAAGGAGGGUGAACCAGCCCAGGUCGGAAGUGGAGCAGGUCAAAACUCCUGUGCUGAUCAGUGGUGGAAUCAAGCUUGUGAAUACCCACUGCACUCCAGCCUGGGCAACAAGAGCAAAACUCCAGCUAA